UUAAACUCGCAGAAGCAUUUUGAAAACUUUGUUGUUGGAAGCUCGUAUUCCUUAGAAAAAUCAUGCCAUUUUGAAAUCUCGAGUUUUCCUAGACUAGUAGUUUAGUAUAAGAAAUCACAAUCCAAAUUAAAUUAUUUAAAACCCACCAACGGUCUUGUUACAUAAAAAAACCCAAAACGAAAUCUAAUUGCAAUUAAAAGAAACAAAAACAGUAGUGUGGUCAUCUCUGAGUCCCUCGCAGCUCCAAACCAUCUAAGCUUAGGGAUUACCUGCACAGUUAGAAACGGGGUGAGUUUAUGAAAACUCAGUGUGUAAUCCCAAACAACAAACAAACAGUGAAUAACACAGUAUCAGUACAAUCUGGGCCAAAGCCCUAUUUAGUCUUGACAUAUACUGGGCCGAAGCCUUUCGUUUAACAGUUACUGGGCCGAAGCCUUUUCAUAAAUCAUAUCACUAGGCCGAAGCCUUUUCAUAAAUCAUAUCACUGGGCCGAAGCCUUUACUAUAAACGGUAUGGCCCUUAGGCCCAUUUCAAUAUCACAUGUAAUGUCAAUGGAUGUAUGCAAGCCCAUUUGGGGAGACUACUCAACCCACCAUCCGCUACUCUCCACCCGUACCAACCAAGCUCUCCAUGUGGAGAAUAACUCAACCCACCCAACCAAACUCUCCACUGGCAGCAUAGCUGCUUUAUCAUAUAUCUGGAGGCCUAGCCUCUUUUAAUAACUUGGGCAAAGCCCUUUUCAAUAAACUGGGGCAUAAGCCCUUUUGCACUUCCUCCAUCCAUAUAAAAACCCAACCCAAUGCAUUUAUGAAUACAUCAUGUGCAUUUCAUACAUAUCAUGUGCAUUUCAUAUAUAUCAUGUGCAUUUUAUACAUAUCAUGUGCAUAUCAUAUCAAUCAUGUAUAUCAUAUCCCACGUAUCAAAUUUAUAAUUAAACCCUAGGGGUAUAAUGGUUAUUUUUACCUAGGGGCAAAACAGUCAUUUUCAUACUAUAAGGGUAAUUUCAUAAUUUUACCAAAUAUUAGGGUUUUUCAUGUUCAUUACAAUUGUUAAUAUUUUCGAGUGUUUAAACAAUGAUCUUUAACCCACUUUAUCAAAUUCGAGCUUUUGGGCCCAAAACCUCUAAUGGGCCCUACGAAUGCCAAUUUAGCCCACUAAGCCUGCUUAAUCCAAAUUUUACAACAGUACUAACCGUGUUAACAUGCAACUUUUCCAAAUUCCAUUUUCUAUCAAUUUUACCCAAAUGGGCCCAAAAGCCCAUUUGGCCCAAUUCCUGCCCAUUGACGCCCAACUUACCAUCGUGCACAAAUUGAGUUCUUACCCGUUCCAUCGAUCCAAACACCGAUCAUAUCGUAUUUAUCGCAUCUAUACCCAUACGCAACAUUACAAGUUCCCGAAAUACCGGUAUUUUAGCAUUUCGGCUUCUCAGCAGAUAUUAAUCUAAGCUAUUACGAGGGUUAGUACACACCUAUUACGGGUUGAAGUUUAAACGUUUCCAUAAUCAAUCACCUACGAUAACCACCACGUAUCACUCAAACUUAACUAAUCCAAUAUCAAUAUAUGUAAAUCCUAAGCACAUCAGUCAUACGGAACAUAAGGGUAUAUUCAUCAUUUUACCAUACAAAGGUAUUACGGUCACUUUAUCCUAUAGGGGCUUUACGGUCUUUUUACCUAUUAGGGGUAUUUUAGUCAUUUCAUCCUACAAGGGUGUUUCGGUAAAUCUACAAACCAAGGGUAUUUCAGUAAUUUUGUAAACGAAUGGUAUUUCUAUAAUUUUUAGAAAGUCAAGGGUAUUUCUAUAAUUUUGUAAAUCAGGGGUAUUUUGGUAAUUUUACAAAUUGAAGGUAUUUCGGUAAUUUCACAAACCAAUGGUAUUUUGGUAAUUUUACAAACUAGGGGUGUUUUGGUAAUUCUACCCUAUAGGGGUAUUUCAGUAAUUUCACAAUCGAGGGUAAAACGGUAAUUUUGUAAAUCAAGGGUAAAACAUUAAUUCUGUAAAUCGAGGGUCAAACAGUAAUUCUGUAAAUCGAGGGUAAAAUGGUAAUUCUAUAAAUCGAGGGUAAAACGGUAAUUUUUACAAGUCGAGGGCAUUUCAAUAAUUGGUAAACUAGAGUAUUCUAAACAUGGAUAACAAUACAAAUGGGCCUAAAGCCUAUUCUCGGGCCAAAUGGGCCCACACGCUCGUGUGGCCCUUUUAGCCCUAAUCUAGCCACAAAUAUGAGAUUCACCUAGCCUAGUCCAAUAUUUACUACAUAAUGAAACAACUUAUCCAAUUGGGUCCGUAGGCCCAUUAGGCCCACAUGACCCCUUUCGGUCCGAAGUAGCUAUCCUAUAGCUAGAGUAGUGAGAAAUACACACCUGAUAGGAGACUGGAGUUAACCCACACUUCGAGCACUCUUAGCCGAUGCCGAACCCAAACGAGCACGCCAUACAGCGAAAGGGAUCAACUAAGAAAAGGUACC
rnacentral:lncRNA from 1 species